rnacentral:tRNA from 1 species
AGCGGGGUAGGGUAGCCAGGUUUAACCCGCCGGGCUCAUAACCCGGAGAUCGGUGGUUCGAGUCCACCCCCCGCUA